GCUCCUAUAGUUUAAUGGUAAAACGCAGCAAUGGUAAUGCUGAAAUUCUAGUUCGAUUCUAGGUAGGAGCACCA
rnacentral:tRNA from 1 species